CUGAACUUUCACUGCCUCUGUGCUGCCAUCUUCUCCUUUACUGAUUCUAAGAAAUAAAAAAGAAGAAAAAGAAAAAGAGAUACUUGGUUAGAUUGUCCUGUUUGUUCAAAAGGAUUGUUUUUACAUUAUAGGAAAUAGAAGUGAUGCUCACGUGCCAAUCAUUCUGGGAGUGACUUUCUACCUUACACAAUUUUGGGAUGAGAGCCACCUAUCAUUGUGCAACAUAGAAUGCCAUGCUUCAUGGUAGGCAGCAAAAAAAUAUUUAGAGCUGGAAGGGAACUUGUCAGAAGGAGAUGCAGUGUAGUACAGUGGGUAGAGAUCAGGUCUCAAAGAUAAGAGUUUAUUUUGAGCUUAUGGUUUUGUAUCCCCAGUCAGCUAAGAAGAUAAGUUGUAGCUUAAGUAUUAAUCUGCAUUCAUGAAAAGAUCAUCAGUACUAUGAUUUUCCUAUAUGAAUAAGAUAAUUGGUAUGUUAGGAAACAAAGAAAACCCUAAAGAUAUUUUAGAAGUCAUUUCAUCCCAUCCCUUCAUUUUACAGAUGAGAAAACUGAGGACCAAGAGAAGUAAGAUGUUUUGUCCAAAAAUCACUCAGGCAUCAUUUCCAGGACAAUUCAUAGAAUGGAAGAUUAACUCAGAGAAGAGAUUCUUGUCCUGGUCUCCUCCAGCUGCAUCAUUCAUAGGUACUUCUUUUGCAUGGCUAUGUAUUCUUAUGGCUACAUGUCUGGCAUUCCGAUAUGUUAUCACCCAUAAUGCAGUGUUGGUGGUGGGUGCUAGACUUAUAUUUUUAGACUGAUGGGUGCAUUUAGAAAUUGAUUGACAAUCCCAGGUGUCCUGGCUGGGGCUGGGUUGACUGUGAGACUUAAUAAAUGAAUUGUUUAAAAUCUCA
rnacentral:lncRNA from 1 species